rnacentral:lncRNA from 1 species
CCAAAAGUGUGAAGUCUAUUGUGCAAAUUUGGUCACUUUUGCUCUUAGUGCCAAAACUAAUUUGUGCUGAUUCUUUUUUCGGUUUUUGCCAAAGAAUUCUCUCUUGGUUCCUUGCACUUUUUGGUAGGGGCCGAAUAUUGCUUGGUCAUUCGGGUAAUUUUUGCUUUGCUCUAAAAUUUUUGGUGCUGUCUUUUUUGACCAUUU